rnacentral:rRNA from 1 species
AUGAAGCACAUAUUCAAGAUCAUCACGGUGCUGGCGGCGAUCUCGGCCGUCUGGGCUGCGCUCCUUGAAACCUCGACAGUUCCUCACAGUUACACCUGGCUGCUUCCCAUCUAUUUGGUAGUGGCGCUUGGAUGCUACGGCCUUUUUAUGGUUGGGUACGGGCUGAUGUUCUUUCCCACCUGUCCUCAAGAAGCCAUACUACUACAACAGGAUAUUAUGGAGGCUAAGGAAUUCUUAUCCAAAAGGGGUGUUGAUGUGGGCUCUGACUGA